rnacentral:lncRNA from 1 species
GGGGGGGGGGGGGGCUGAGGAGAGAGAAAGGGAGAGGGAGGCUGUUAUGAGAGUUGUGGGAGGCUGGGGAUAGGAACUUGGAGAGGAGAGGGAUGAGAGUGCUGUGGAGAAGGGAGAGAGGAGGGCUGUGGAGAGAGGAGGGCUGUGGAGAGGGGAGAGGGGAGAAGAGAGAGGAAAGGGUGGAGAGGAGAGGGAUGAGAGGGCUGUGGAGAGGGGAGAGAGGAGAGGGGGAGAAGAGAGGGAGGGCUGUGGAGAGAGGAGAGAGAAGGGCUGUGGAGAGGGGAGAGGAAAGGGUGGAGAGGAGAGGGAUGAGAGGGCUGUGGAGAGGGGAGAGAGGAGAGGGGGGAGAAAAGUGGGAGGGCUGUGGAGAGAGGAGAGAGGAGGGCUGUGGAGAGAGGAGGGCUGUGGAGAGGGGAGAGGGGAGAAGAGAGAGGAAAGGGUGGAGAGGAGAGGGAUGAGAGGGCUGUGGAGAGGGGAGAGAGGAGAGCUGUGGAGAGAGAAGGGCUGUGGAGAGAGGAGGGCUGUGGAGAGGAGAGAGGGGGAGAAGAGAGGGAGGGCUGUGGAGAGAGGAGAGAGGAGGGCUGUGGAGAGAGGAGGGCUGUGGAGAGAGGAGGAAGGGAGAGAGGAGAGAGGAGGGCUGUGGAGAGAGGAGAGAGGAGGGCUGUGGAGAGAGGAGAGGAGAGGAGAGAGGAGGGCUGUGGAGAGAGGAGAGAGGAGGGCUGUGGAGAGGAGAGAGGGGGAGAAGAGAGGGAGGGCUGUGGAGAGAGGCGAGAGGAGGGCUGUGGAGAGAGGAGGGCUGUGGAGAGGAGAGAGGGGGAGAAGAGAGGGAGGGCUGUGGAGAGAGGAGAGAGGAGGGCUGUGGAGAGAGGAGGGCUGUGGAGAGAGGAGGAAGGGAGAGAGGAGAGAGGAGGGCUGUGGAGAGAGGAGAGAGGAGGGCUGUGGAGAGAGGAGAGGAGAGGAGAGAGUGGAGAGAGGAGGGCUGUGGAGAGAGGAGAGAGGAGGGCUGUGGAGAGAGGAGAGGAGAGGAGAGAGUGGAGAGAGGAGGGCUGUGGAGAGAGGAGGGCUGAGGGCUGUGGAGAGAGGAGGGCUGUGGAGAGAGGAGAGAGGAGGGCUGUGGAGAGAGGAGAGAGGAGGGCUGUGGAGAGAGGAGGGCUGUGGAGAGAGGAGAGAGGAGGGCUGUGGAGAGAGGAGAGAGGAGGGCUGUGGAGAGAGGAGAGGAGAGAAGAGAAGAGAGAGUGGAGAGAGUCUGUUCUGUUCCUCUCUGACAGUUGAAUGGGAGCGUAACGUGCUGUGACACCCCAGGCACUAGGCUGUCAAAACAGGGUUCCUCUGUUCCUCCGUUGCAUGAUUGUUCUGAAGGGGACUGGAGUGGCCCAGCAUGUUACAGCACACUGACUAACCACUCACGCAAGAGGGAGAGCGAGAGAGAGGGGGUGAGGGAGCGAGAGAGAGAGGAGAGAGAGAGAGAGAGAGGAGAGAGGGGGAGGGGGAGGGAGAGAGAGAGGAGAGGAGAGGAGAAGGGGAGAGAGAGAGAGAGAAAGAGAGAGAGGAGAGAGAGAGAGAGAGGGGGAGGGAGAGAGAGAGAGAGAGAGAGAGAGAGGAGAGAGGGGGAGGAAGAAAGAGAGGAGAGGAGAAGGGGAGGGAGAGAGAGGAGAGAGAGGAGAGGAGAGGGGGGAGGGAAAUAGUUCUUUGCUUUGGCAAUGUAAACACAUUUCCCCAUGCCAAUAAAACCCCUUUGUAUUGAGAGAGAGGAGAGGGGAGAGAGAGAGAGAGAGAGAGAGAGAGAGAGAGGAGAGGGGGGAGGGAAAGAGAGAGAAAAAGAUGGAGAGGGGUGAGAGAGAGAGAGAGAGACUAUGUAUCAUCACACACUCCCAUAUAGAUUGUGCUGUGCCCUGUAUAGACAGAACACCUUGGUAUGGAAGUACACUGACUGUCUAUGGGUCUGAUGUUCUCUUACAAAUCACAGUACUGGUUUCCAUCUGAUUUCUUACAUUCAAACACCAAAACAAAAAGAGCCCCCCAAGGCAUUCCCAUUGAAUGUGGCAAAAAUAAUGCUGUGCAAUAGGAAAAUCUUAGAGCAAAGUGUUCUGGCCAGCUGGGUUGAUGAGGUCAGGACAGAACAGAAGAAAACAGCAGAAUUAGCAGAAAAAUACAAAUGUUUCCACUCUCUUCCAGAACAUUACACAGAACGGUUUAAACAAAAUCAUGAAAUGAGAGAUUCUCCUGCCCCUGUCUUCCACAGUCACAGACAGACAAAUACAUGUACAGUCUACAAAUCACAAUCAAUCUACAAAUCACAAUCUACAAUCAACUCUUCCUCGUAUCCCUCUAGUUCCAGAUCCCUGACUGACCCAAACCGACCUCCGGACCUGAAUCACGGUUCAAUCCCAAAAUCGCACCCUAUUCCCUAUGUAGUGCACUACUUUGGACCAGAGCUCAUUAGGAAGUAGUGCACUACAUAGGGAAUAGGGUGCCAUUUGGGCCUUAAACCUAUCCGAGAUCGAGACCGGAUUACCUCAUACCAGACUUCUCCAUUCUACUGCUGCUCACCCCUUCAGAUCCUACCUCAGACCAGACUUCUCAAUUCUACUGCUGCUCACCCCUUCAGAUCCUACCUCAGACCAGACUUCUCCAUUCUACUGCUGCUCACCCCUUCAGAUCCUACCUCAGACCAG